rnacentral:rRNA from 1 species
AACGUAGGUGGCAAGCGUUAUCCGGAUUUACUGGGCGUAAAGGGUGUGCAGGCGGGUUUGCAAGUGGGGUGUGAAAUCUCCCGGCUUAACCGGGAGGGGUUAUGCCAGACUGCAAAUCUAGAGGACGAGAGAGGGGGGUGGAAUUCCGGGUGUAGCGGUGAAAUGCGUAGAGAUGUGGAGGAACACCGAUGGCGAAGGCAGCCCCCUGGGUCAAGAUUGACGCUCAUGCACGAAAGCGUGGGGAGCGAACAGG